GAUGAACGCUGGCGGCGUGCCUAAUACAUGCAAGUCGAGCGAACAGACGAGGCGCUUGCUCCUCUGUCGUUAGCGGCGGACGGGUGAGUAACGCGUGUAUAACCUCCCUAUAAGACUGGUAUCACUUCGGGAAACCGGCGCUUAUCCCGGAUAAUAUCUUGAACCGCAUGGUUCAAUAGUGAAUGACGGUUUUGCUGUCUCUUAUCGCUGGUUCCGCGCCGUAUUAGCUAGUUGGUACGGUCACGGCUUACCAAGGCAACGAUGCGUAGCCGACCGGAUGGAGGGGUCGCCCGCACGAGAACGUAGACGGGCUCCAGACGCCUGCGGUAGGCAGCAGUAGGGUACCGGCGGCAAUGGGCGAAAGCUUGACGGAGCAACGCCGCGUGAGUGAUGGAGGUCUCCGGAGCGUAAAACUCGGUUAUUAGGGAAGAACAAAUGUGGAAGGAGCUAUGCACUUCUUGACGGUACCGAAUCAGAAAGCCACGGCUAACUACGUG
rnacentral:rRNA from 1 species